rnacentral:rRNA from 1 species
GGUAAACGCUGGCGGCGUGCAUGAGACAUGCAAGUCGAACGAACGAGCUUGCUCGUUAGUGGCGAACGGCUGAGUAACGCGUAGGUGACCUGCCCUGAAGUGGGGGAUAACGGCCCGAAAGGGUUGCUAAUACCGCAUGUGGCGACGUGUUCAUUCACGUCAUCAAAGCCGCGAGGCGCUUCAGGAGGGGCCUGCGUCCGAUUAGCUCGUUGGUGGGGUAACGGCUCACCAAGGCGACGAUCGGUAGGUGGUCUGAGAGGACGAUCACCCAGACUGGGACUGAGACACGGCCCAGACUCCUACGGGAGGCAGCAGUCGGGAAUUUUGCUCAAUGGGGGAAACCCUGAAGCAGCAACGCCGCGUGCGGGAUGAAGGCCUUCGGGUUGUAAACCGCUUUUAUCAGGGACGAUGAUGACGGUACCUGAUGAAUAAGUCACGGCUAACUACGUGCCAGCAGCCGCGGUAAGAC